rnacentral:lncRNA from 1 species
UUUAAUAAAGAUUGCCUGAAGUAUCAGAAUGCAAAGACAGCCGCACUAGUUAGCUAUAGAAGCUAGGCAGUGGUGGCACCUUUAAUCCCUGGACUCACGAGACAGAGGUAAAUGGGUCUCUGUUAGUUCAAGGCCACACUGAGCUAUGUGAAACUGAUCCAGUCUAAAACAGCUCACACAAAUGAGAUCUCAGCACCUGGGGUUCCACGCCUGAAAUCCCAGGAUUUGAGAGGUAUAAGGAAGAAGCAAAGUCAAUCUCCGAGCAUUUGGCCGCAUUGAAGAGAGCAGUGCAGUCUGGAUUGCAGUCCGAGGUUCAGUGGAUCAGCCCUUUCAGCCUGAGCUAGAGGUAAGAGCUAGUGUCUGGCUGCUUUGCUUUUUGAUCUUCAGCUUGAAGCUUGAAUUCCAAUAACUGUCUCUGGGUCUUUUAUUAUUUGUGCUAUACACAUAUGCAGUGCCGGGCUCUGUGGACACAGCAAGAAACUGACGUCUCCAGCCAGCAGCAGCUCCCAGGCUAGACUGGAAGUGGGCCCUUCCCAGAAGGGAACAAGAGUGAGUUCAACUGAAGAAAAAAGGCUUCUCUUGUGGAAGCAGUAUGCCCAUUCAGUCGUGUGAAGACCAGCGUGUGCGGGUGCUGAGUGCCAGUGGUGGAUGGUGCUUGCUGUAAUCCUCCACCCCACUGGUGGCCCCUGGGGAUUGGAUUAAAGAUGGAACUAUUGGAUACCAUGGGCCUGGAGAUGGACUUCACUUCAUUAACUCCUUGACAAGAGAACUGGGAAGCCUGAGGUUAAACACACCUUCUUCAAAGCACUUCCCCAAACCAGGAGGCUAAGCAAGCUUUUGAUGAGAGUGAAGGUCUGGCUUUCUAAGAAGGUGGGGUGGGUGAGCUGCAAAAGGAUAAAGAGCCAGCCUCAUGGAGUCUUUGUCUAUUGAGGUGGACAUGAAAAAUGCAUUCUGUCUGGGGUAAUGUGAGCCCUGGUGUGAAAACCAAGACCAGCUGAGAAAGACAUGGCUUUUCUUUUCUUUUCUUUUUUUUUUUUUUUUUGAGGACCAUGUAGACCAGGGUGGCCUGAAUCAGAGUGGCCUCCCAGGUUCUGGUAUUAAAGGUGUGCACCUCUGUGCCCAGCCUCCAGUGUGCCACCAUGCCCAACCUCUAGACUUCAUUGCUGAGUAAAAUAGUCACAAUUAACUUUUGUUAUGUCAAAG